ensembl:snRNA U6 U6 spliceosomal RNA
AUGCUCGCUUCAGCAGCACAUAUGCUAAAACUGGAAUGAUAUAGAGAAGAUUAAUAUGACCCCUGUGCAAGGAUGAUACACAAAUUCAUGAAGUGUUCCAUAUUGGA